AUACCUGCAGCUCGAGUGGUGAUCACUAUUAUUGGGCCUAAAACGUCCGUAGCCGGUCUUAUAAAUGCCUGGGUAAAUCGUGCCGCUUAACGGUACGACUUCCGGGUAGACUGUAAAACUUGAGACCGGGAGAGGCUAGAGGUACUCCUGGGGUAGAGGUGAAAUUCUGUAAUCCUAGGGGGACCACCAGUGGCGAAGGCGUCUAGCUAGAACGGGUCUGACGGUGAGGGACGAAGCCCUGGGGCGCAAACCGGAUUAGAUACCCGGGUAGUCCAGGGUGUAAACGCUGCUUGCUUGAUGUUAGUCGGGCUCCGAGCCCGAUUAGUGUCGGAGUGAAGAUGUUAAGCAAGCUGCCUGGGAAGUACGGUCGCAAGAUUGAA
rnacentral:rRNA from 1 species